GUUAGCCUUGGGAAUGAAGCUGACGAAGCCGCGUGUACUGACAAGGGCGAACCAUCGCUCUGUCCCCCUACAAGACUCUGUGAGGAAGAAAGAUAUCAAGCAAGUACGAUAGGAAUGCUAACAUCUGCGCGUAGGAUGUACGCUAGGUUACUUGGUGAAUUUAGUGCGAGAGGCUUUGGAACAAUACUCACGCUGAGGCGUAUACAAGGUCUGAGGAGCCUUGGGAUCCAGCGGGCGACAUUACAGUCGUCAAUGGAGGGUCUGUAUGACUGAAAGGGCAGAGAGCAUACACUCGGUCGUUCGGCAACAUAAACAAACACAAUAAAAUGCCGUAUUACGAAGUCA